UACGGAGGGGGCAAGCGUUACUCGGAAUUAUUGGGCGUAAAGGGCGCGUAGGCGGUCGUGCGCGUCGGAGGUGAAAUCCCCGGGCUUAACCCGGGAGCUGCCUCCGAUACGGCAUGGCUUGAGUCCGGGAGAGGGGAGCAGAAUUCCCAGUGUAGCGGUGAAAUGCGUAGAUAUUGGGAGGAAUACCAGUGGCGAAGGCGGCUCCCUGGACCGGUACUGACGCUGAGGCGCGAAAACGUGGGUAGCAAACAGG
rnacentral:rRNA from 1 species